AUUGAACGCUGGCGGCAGGCUUAACACAUGCAAGUCGAGCGGGGUGAUGGUGCUUGCACUAUCACUUAGCGGCGGACGGGUGAGUAAUGCUUAGGAAUCUGCCUAUUAGUGGGGGACAACAUCUCGAAAGGGAUGCUAAUACCGCAUACGUCCUACGGGAGAAAGCAGGGGAUCACUUGUGACCUUGCGCUAAUAGAUGAGCCUAAGUCGGAUUAGCUAGUUGGUGGGGUAAAGGCCUACCAAGGCGACGAUCUGUAGCGGGUCUGAGAGGAUGAUCCGCCACACUGGGACUGAGAAACGGCCAAGACUCCUACGGGAGGCAGCAGUGGGGAAUAUUGGACAAUGGGGGGAACCCUGAUCUAGCCAUGCCGCGUGUGUGAAGAAGGCCUUAUGGUUGUAAAGCACUUUAAACGAGGAGGAGGCUCUUUUGGUUAAUACCCAAGAUGAGUGGACGUUACUCGCAGAAUAAGCACCGGCUAACUCUGUGCCAGCCGCCGCCGUAA
rnacentral:rRNA from 1 species